UCGACCUUCCUAAGUGCUGGGAUUACGGGCGACAUCUCAGCAAUGCAUUUGUGGGCAUUUAUCUCCACAUUCCUCCUGAAUGAAGGCCAGAGGCAGAUGAGAGGAAUCAGAAAGCAGGAGAAAACGUAAAAUGAAAGCUUGAAGCCGAAGCACAGGAAAAGAGAACAGUGUGUGGGAGAACACAGAGACAGUGCUGUGGACAUACAUCAGAAUCGGAUGGUCCGAGUUCUGCCCUUUGAACAUGACAGGAGGAGUCAUGCAUGUAGAUGAGGAAAGCUCCAUUUUGGGACAACGUGAGUAAACAAGCCAUUUAGAUAAACUCCCCUACAUUCCCUUGUACUUACUCCUCUCCCUUUGCCUUAGGGUAAGAACAGCCCCUUCAGCUCAUUCUCCCCCGAGGAUAUGCAAAAACUUCCCAGCCUUCCAAGUAGUUCUGCAUCUUUUCUAUCAUUUUUCCUAUCACCCUGACCGAUUUCCUACAAAUAUGGGACCAAGAAUCUAUUGCUUCAGCCACACCCAGCAAGGGUGUGAGAUGUGACCAAUUUUACAUCAUUUUGGCAACAGCAGAAACCAGUCAUUAUGGUAAUAAAGAAAUUCGUUUUUCAGAUUCCAUUUCACCUAAUUUGAACAAACUUAAUAUUUUCUGCCUGUUCAUAGUCAAGGCUGUAUUUUUGCCCCUCAAAUAAUAUGGAUGCAAAGCCUUUUGAAAAUGUUUAGUUGUCAUUAAUUUUUUUUAAUGUUCAAAUGCUUCAAAUGUUCAAAGCUGAGUUAGAUAGAUAGGGUUCUUUCAAGUGCACUUUGGAAGUAGAAAUUAAUAUCAAGUAGCUCAAUUUUAUGAUAAAUAGAAAUAUAUAAAUGUCAUUGAUAAUAGCU